CAGCAGCCACGGUAAUACAGAGGGUGCGAGCGUUAAUCGGAUUUACUGGGCGUAAAGCGUGCGUAGGCGGCUUUUUAAGUCGGAUGUGAAAUCCCUGAGCUUAACUUAGGAAUUGCAUUCGAUACUGGGAAGCUAGAGUAUGGGAGAGGAUGGUAGAAUUCCAGGUGUAGCAGUGAAAUGCGUAGAGAUCGGAAGGAACAUCUGUGGCGAAGGCGACUAUCUGGGCCAACACUGACACUGAGGCACGAAAGCGUGGGGAGCAAACAGGAUUAGAUACCCCAGUAGUCCCUGUCUCUUAUAU
rnacentral:rRNA from 1 species